rnacentral:rRNA from 1 species
CCUACGGGUGGCAGCAGUGGGGAAUAUUGCACAAUGGGGGAAACCCUGAUGCAGCAACGCCGCGUGAGUGAUGACGGCCUUCGGGUUGUAAAGCUCUAUCAGCAGGGAAGAAGAAAUGACGGUACCUGAGUAAGAAGCCCCGGCUAACUACGUGCCAGCAGCCGCGGUAAUACGUAGGGGGCAAGCGUUAUCCGGAAUUACUGGGGGUAAAGGGAGCGUAGACGGUGAUGUAAGUCUGGAGUGAAAGGCGGGGGCCCAACCCCCGGACUGCUCUGGAAACCAUGUGACUGGAGUGCAGGAGAGGUGAGCAGAAUUCCUAGUGUAGCGGUGAAAUGCGUAGAUAUUAGGAGGAACACCAGUGGCGAAGGCGGCUCACUGGACUGUAACUGACGUUGAGGCUCGAAAGCGUGGGGAGCAAACAGGAUUAGAUACCCCUGUAGUC